GACGAACGCUGGCGGCGUGCUUAACACAUGCAAGUCGAACGGAAAGGCCCUGCUUUUGUGGGGUGCUCGAGUGGCGAACGGGUGAGUAACACGUGAGUAACCUGCCCUUGACUUUGGGAUAACUUCAGGAAACUGGGGCUAAUACCGGAUAGGAGCUCCUGCUGCAUGGUGGGGGUUGGAAAGUUUCGGCGGUUGGGGAUGGACUCGCGGCGUAUCAGCUUGUUGGUGGGGUAGUGGCUUACCAAGGCUUUGACGGGUAUCCGGCCUGAGAGGGUGACCGGCCACAUUGGGACUGGGAUACGACCCAGACUCCUACGGGAGGCAGCAGUGGGGAAUAUUGCACAAUGGGCGGAAGCCUGAUGCAGCAACGCCGCGUGCGGGAUGACGGCCUUCGGGUUGUAAACCGCUUUCGCCUGUGACGAAGCGUGAGUGACGGUAAUGGGUAAAGAAGCACCGGCUAACUACGUG
rnacentral:rRNA from 1 species